UACGGAGGGUGCGAGCGUUGUCCGGAAUCACUGGGCGUAAAGAGCUUGUAGGCGGUUUGUCGCGUCUGCUGUGAAACCCGGGGCUCAACUCCGGGCCUGCAGCCGAUACGGGCAGACUAGAGUUCGGCAGGGGGAGACUGGAAUCCUGGUGUAGCGGUGAAAUGCGCAGAUAUCAGGAGGAACACCGGUGGCGAAGGCGGGCUCUGGGCCGAUACUGACGCUGAGGAGCGAAAGCGUGGGGAGCGA
rnacentral:rRNA from 1 species